UACGAAGGGGGCUAGCGUUGCUCGGAAUCACUGGGCGUAAAGGGUGCGUAGGCGGGGCUUUAAGUCAGAGGGGAAAUCCUGGAGCUCAACUCCAGAACUGCCUUUGAUACUGAGGAUCUUGAGUCCGGGAGAGGUGAGUGGAACUGCGAGUGUAGAGGUGAAAUUCGUAGAUAUUCGCAAGAACACCAGUGGCGAAGGCGGCUCACUGGCCCGGUACUGACGCUGAGGCACGAAAGCGUGGGGAGCAAACAGG
rnacentral:rRNA from 1 species